ACAGCUGUGUAAAGCCUCAACUGGUAGUAACCAGUAGUGCCUAAUACUGCUGUCUUAAAGGAAUAACAAUAUAGUCAAAUACUGGAUGUACAAGCUUUAAGGCCCCAUUCAGCUGAAAGACCUGGGGUUAUCAAUAUCUGUGUGUCUUUGUGAGUAUACAGAAUAUGUGUACCCUUGAAGACCAGAAGACACUGAAGUCAUGGGCUGUUUUACUAAGUGGGCGCUGGAAAUCAUUUGGAGUAGUACUCAUGCAUAACCGCUGAGAUAUCUCCAGCUCCUCGAAAACUUUGUUUAAGAUGACAUUUCAAGAAAAACUCAUGAACACUCCUUUGUGUUAUACAAAUAUAAAAAUUUUUCCUUGAUUACUCCUUUGUCACAUCUCUAAUUCGGUACUUUGUUCUGCAUCUCUGGGUUUGUGAAACUACUAGGUAGUAGUUCUUAACCUUCCUACUGCUGCAACCUUUUAAUACAGUUCCUCAUGUUGUGAUGACCCCCAAUCAUAAAAUAUUUUGUUGUUACUUCAUAAACGUAAUUGUGGCACUGAUAAGGAGCAUGAUGUAGAUAUCUGAUAUGCAGGAAGCCCACAGGCUGAGAAGCAGUAUACUAGGGAUUCUUUAGCUGUUGAUCUUCUUUAAUUGCAUGGUCACCACAGAGAAUACACUCAGUUAUUUCAAGUUUUCUA